rnacentral:rRNA from 1 species
UGGUGGAGUGAUUUGUCUGGUUAAUUCCGUUAACGAACGAGACCUCAGCCUGCUAAAUAGUUAUGCGCAUGCAGCUGGUUUCGGGUGUGGGGGGGCAGCGGUGUUGGGCAACCGGCGCCGCUGGCGGCUCGCCGCCCCGUUGUUGUAUGCGUAGCCAACUUCUUAGAGGGACUAAUGGUGUUCAGCCAUUGGAAGUUUGAGGCAAUAACA